AGAGUUUGAUCCUGGCUCAGGAUGAACGCUAGCGGCAGGCCUAAUACAUGCAAGUCGAACGGUAAAUAUUUAGCAAUAAAUAUGAGAGUGACGUACGGGUGCGUAACACGUAUGCAACCUACCCUUUACAGGCGGAUAGCUCGGGGAAACUCGAAUUAACCCGCCGUAAUAUAAUUGGAUAGCAUCAUCUGGUUAUUAAAUCUACGGAGGUAAAGGAUGGGCAUGCGUCUGAUUAGUUAGUUGGCGGGGUAACGGCCCACCAAGACGAUGAUCAGUAGGGGAACUGAGAGGUUGAUCCCCCACACUGGCACUGAGAUACGGGCCAGACUCCUACGGGAGGCAGCAGUAGGGAAUAUUGGUCAAUGGAUGGAAGUCUGAACCAGCCAUGCCGCGUGCAGGAAGAAGGCCUUCUGGGUUGUAAACUGCUUUUGCCAGGGGAUAAAAUGACCUUGCGAGGUUAAUUGAAGGUACCUGGUGAAUAAGCCACGGCUAACUACGUGCCAGCAGCCGCGGUAAUACGUAGGUGGCAAGCGUUGUCCGGAUUUAUUGGGUUUAAAGGGUGCGUAGGCGGCUUAUUAAGUCAGUGGUGAAAUACUCUAGCUCAACUAGAGGGGUGCCAUUGAUACUGAUGAGCUUGAGUACAGAUGAGGUAGGCGGAAUUGACGGUGUAGCGGUGAAAUGCUUAGAUAUCGUCAAGAACACCUAUAGCGAAGGCAGCUUACUAGGCUGUAACUGACGCUGAGGCACGAAAGUGUGGGGAUCAAACAGGAUUAGGUACCCUGGUAGUCCACACUGUAAACGUUGAUUACUCGCUGUGUUCGAUAUACAGUACGCGGCCAAGCGAAAGCGAUAAGUAAUCCACCUGGGGAGUACGCCGGCAACGGUGAAACUCAAAGGAAUUGACGGGGGUCCGCACAAGCGGUGGAGCAUGUGUUUAAUUCGAUGAUACGCGAGGAACCUUACCUGGACUAGAAUGCCCUUGACCGAUCCAGAGAUGGAUUUUUCCGCAAGGACAAGGAGCAAGGUGCUGCAUGGCCGUCGUCAGCUCGUGCCGUGAGGUGUUGGGUUAAGUCCCGCAACGAGCGCAACCCCUAUUUUUAGUUGCCAACAGGUUAAGCUGGGGACUCUAAAAAGACUGCCCGCGCAAGCGGAGAGGAAGGAGGGGACGACGUCAGGUCAUCAUGGCCCUUACGUCCAGGGCUACACACGUGCUACAAUGGCGUAUACAGAGUGUUGCAAACCAGCGAUGGUAAGCCAAUCACAAAAAGUACGUCUCAGUUCGGAUUGCAGGCUGCAACUCGCCUGCAUGAAGUUGGAAUCGCUAGUAAUCGCGCAUCAGCAAUGGCGCGGUGAAUACGUUCCCGGACCUUGUACACCCCGCCCGUCAAGCCAUGAGAGUCGGGAGGACCUGAAGGCAGUUGCUGUAAGGCGC
rnacentral:rRNA from 1 species